rnacentral:rRNA from 1 species
CAGCAGCCACGGUAGGACAGAGGAUGCAAGCGUUAUCCGGAAUGAUUGGGCGUAAAGCGUCUGUAGGUGGCUUUUCAAGUCCGCCGUCAAAUCCCAGGGCUCAACCCUGGACAGGCGGUGGAAACUACCAAGCUGGAGUACGGUAGGGGCAGAGGGAAUUUCCAGUGGAGCGGUGAAAUGCGUUGAGAUCGAAAAGAACACCAACAGCGAAAGCACUCUGCUGGGACGACACUGACACUAAGAGACGAAAGCUAGGGGAGCAAAUGGGAUUAGAUACCCCUGUAGUCCCUGUCUCUUAUAC